rnacentral:rRNA from 1 species
AGUGAACGCUGGCGGUAGGCCUAACACAUGCAAGUCGAACGGCAGCACAGUAAGAGCUUGCUCUUACGGGUGGCGAGUGGCGGACGGGUGAGGAAUACAUCGGAAUCUACUUUUUCGUGGGGGAUAACGUAGGGAAACUUACGCUAAUACCGCAUACGACCUACGGGUGAAAGCAGGGGAUCUUCGGACCUUGCGCGAUUGAAUGAGCCGAUGUCGGAUUAGCUAGUUGGCGGGGUAAAGGCCCACCAAGGCGACGAUCCGUAGCUGGUCUGAGAGGAUGAUCGGCCACACUGGAGCUGGGACACGGACCAGACUCCUGCGGGAGGCAGCAGUGGGGAAUAUUGGACAAUGGUCGCAAGCCUGGUCCAGCCAUACCGCGUGUGUGAAGGAGGCCUUCGGGUUGUAAAGCCCUUUUGUUGGGAAAGAAAAGCAGCAGGUUAAUACCCCGCUGUUCUGACGGUACCCAAAGAAUAAGCACCGGCUAACUUCGUG